AUUGAACGCUGGCGGCAGGCCUAACACAUGCAAGUCGAACGAGUGGCGGACGGGUGAGUAAUGUCUGGGAAACUGCCUGAUGGAGGGGGAUAACUCCUGGAAACGGUAGCUAAUACCGCAUACCAUCGGAUGUGCCCAGAUGGGAUUAGCUAGUAGGUGGGGUAACGGCUCACCUAGGCGACGAUCCCUAGCUGGGCUGAGAGGAUGACCAGCCACACUGGAACGGAGACACGGUCCAGAUUCCUACGGGAGGCAGGAGUGGGGAAUAUUGCACAAUGGGCGCAAGCCUGAUGAAGCCAUGCCGCGUGUAUGAAGAAGGCCUUCGGGUUGGAAAGUACGUUCAGCGGGGAGGCGUUACCCGCAGAAGAAGCACCGGCUAACUCCGUGCCAGCAGCCGCGGUAAUUC
rnacentral:rRNA from 1 species